rnacentral:misc_RNA from 1 species
AACGCACGAGACCUGCGGACCUGCGGAAGGAUCAUUAUAGAGUGGUAAACCCCCCGUAAAAGGGGGGGACCUCCUGUCCUUUGUAGGCUCUUUUUUAAAAGGGCUUUUUUUAAUUUUCUGCUUCGGUGGGGUUAUCCCACCGGAACAACCUCAAAACUCUUAUCAAAAAAUCGUUCUGUCUGAGAACCUUUUAUAAUAAAAAAAAACUUUCAGCAAUGGAUCUCUAGAUCGGAAGAGCAC